rnacentral:tmRNA from 1 species
GGGGCCGACCUGGAUUUGACUGCAAUAGCAGUAGCUGCAGAAGCAUGUCGAUAAACGCACGAUACAUCGUAAAUAGUACGUGUACAAGAAUAAUUGACAACAAUAAUUCUUACGCGCUUGCUGCGUAAUCAGUCUCAGACUAAUUACCUUUAUUUAGCCGAACAAUAGUAAGCUAAACAAGCUGUUCCCCUCUGCUCCCGCCUGUUGAGCGAGGAACCGGGACAUCAAAAUUUCGGGCUGGUUUUGCUGCGUCGUGACAGUAAAAUGAGAUUAAAACGACUCAGGUUUUGAGUAAGGUGUUUGUGCCUGAUACAAAACCGAAAUCAAAUCACAAAAUAAGCAUGUAGAAACUUCAGAAACUCAUUGUUAGGACGAGGGUUCGAUCCCCUCCGGCUCCACAA